UACAGAGGUCUCAAGCGUUGUUCGGAUUCAUUGGGCGUAAAGGGUGCGUAGGUGGCGCGGUAAGUCGGGUGUGAAAUUUCGGAGCUUAACUCCGAAACUGCAUUCGAUACUGCCGUGCUUGAGGACUGGAGAGGAGACUGGAAUUUACGGUGUAGCAGUGAAAUGCGUAGAUAUCGUAAGGAAGACCAGUGGCGAAGGCGAGUCUCUGGACAGUUACCGACGCUGAGGCACGAAGGCCAGGGGAGCAAACGGG
rnacentral:rRNA from 1 species